GCAUUUUGAUUCGGGAACAUAGAAGCAAUUCGGGGCAUGCCAUUUUCCUGCCACUAAAAGCAACCUUCUCUCCCCUAUGACAGAACUACGAAGAGAUCCGCAAAGCCCUCGAGCAGUGCAGCAUCGGGAACGACAUCGAGUGUUUUGUACAUAUUCGCAAGACCGGCAACCUCCCUCCAGUUCCAAUAGUCU